rnacentral:rRNA from 1 species
UGGCGGCAGGCCUAACACAUGCAAGUCGAGCGGAUGAAGGGAGCUUGCUCCUGGAUUCAGCGGCGGACGGGUGAGUAAUGCCUAGGAAUCUGCCUGGUAGUGGGGGAUAACGUCCGGAAACGGGCGCUAAUACCGCAUACGUCCUGAGGGAGAAAGUGGGGGAUCUUCGGACCUCACGCUAUCAGAUGAGCCUAGGUCGGAUUAGCUAGUUGGUGGGGUAAAGGCCUACCAAGGCGACGAUCCGUAACUGGUCUGAGAGGAUGAUCAGUCACACUGGAACUGAGACACGGUCCAGACUCCUACGGGAGGCAGCAGUGGGGAAUAUUGGACAAUGGGCGAAAGCCUGAUCCAGCCAUGCCGCGUGUGUGAAGAAGGUCUUCGGAUUGUAAAGCACUUUAAGUUGGGAGGAAGGGCAGUAAGUUAAUACCUUGCUGUUUUGACGUUACCAACAGAAUAAGCACCGGCUAACUUCGUGCCAGCAGCCGCGGUAAUACGAAGGGUGCAAGCGUUAAUCGGAAUUACUGGGCGUAAAGCGCUCGUCGGUGGUUCAGCAAGUAGGAUGUGAAAUCCCCGGGCUCUUCCUGGGAACUGCAUCCUAACUACUUAUCUAUAGUAC